GGUUGUGUAGUGUAGUGGUGAUGUAUGUUCUUUCUAUUCUGCCUUAUUCAGAUUCAGGUGUACUAACUAGCAUCAGCACACCGGAUUUUGAGGAAUGACAAAAUCUUCCGGUAACCCCGGUUCGAUCCCGGGCACGACCU